UACCAGCUCUCCGAGUGGUAGGGAUGAUUAUUGGGCUUAAAGCGUCCGUAGCCGGCUUAGCAAGUUUCCUGUUAAAUUCAGCGACCUAAUCGUUGAGCCGCGGGAAAUACUACUAGGCUAGGAGGCGGGAGAGGUCGACGGUACUUCUGGGGUAGGGGUGAAAUCCUAUAAUCCCGGGAGGACCACCAGUGGCGAAGGCUGUCGACUGGAACGCGCUCGACGGUGAGGGACGAAAGCUGGGGGAGCGAACCGGAUUAGAUACCCGGGUAGUCCCAGCUGUAAACGAUGCGGGCUAGGUGUUGGGGUGGCUACGUGCCACUUCAGUGCCGCAGGGAAGCCAUUAAGCCCGCCGCCUGGGGAGUACGGCCGCAAGGCUGAAACUUAAAGGAAUUGGCGGGGGAGCACCACAAGGCGUGAAGCUUGCGGUUC
rnacentral:rRNA from 1 species